rnacentral:rRNA from 1 species
GAUGAACGCUGGCGGCGUGCUUAACACAUGCGAGUCGAACGGAAAGGCUCCUGCUUGCAGGGGUACUCGAGUGGCGAACGGGUGAGUAACACGUGGGUGAUCUGCCCUGCACUUCGGGAUAAGCCUGGGAAACUGGGUCUAAUACCGGAUAGGACGAUGGUUUGGAUGCCAUUGUGGAAAGUUUUUCGGUGUGGGAUGAGCUCGCGGCCUAUCAGCUUGUUGGUGGGGUAAUGGCCUACCAAGGCGUCGACGGGUAGCCGGCCUGAGAGGGUGUACGGCCACAUUGGGACUGAGAUACGGCCCAGACUCCUACGGGAGGCAGCAGUGGGGAAUAUUGCACAAUGGGCGCAAGCCUGAUGCAGCGACGCCGCGUGGGGGAUGACGGCCUUCGGGUUGUAAACUCCUUUCGCUAGGGACGAAGCGUUUUGUGACGGUACCUGGAGAAGAAGCACCGGCUAACUACGU